rnacentral:rRNA from 1 species
AUUGAACGCUGGCGGCAUGCCUUACACAUGCAAGUCGAACGGCAGCACGGGUGCUUGCACCUGGUGGCGAGUGGCGAACGGGUGAGUAAUACAUCGGAACAUGUCCUGUAGUGGGGGAUAGCCCGGCGAAAGCCGGAUUAAUACCGCAUACGAUCUACGGAUGAAAGCGGGGGACCUUCGGGCCUCGCGCUAUAGGGUUGGCCGAUGGCUGAUUAGCUAGUUGGUGGGGUAAAGGCCUACCAAGGCGACGAUCAGCAGCUGGUCUGAGAGGACGACCAGCCACACUGGGACUGAGACACGGCCCAGACUCCUACGGGAGGCAGCAGUGGGGAAUUUUGGACAAUGGGCGAAAGCCUGAUCCAGCAAUGCCGCGUGUGUGAAGAAGGCCUUCGGGUUGUAAAGCACUUUUGUCCGGAAAGAAAUCCUUGGCCCUAAUACGGUCGGGGGAUGACGGUACCGGAAGAAUAAGCACCGGCUAACUACGUA